GACGAAGGGGGCUAGCGUUGUUCGGAAUUACUGGCGUAAAGCGCGUGUAGGCGGUUGCCCAAGUCGGGUGUGAAAGCCUUGAGCUCAACUCAAGAAAUGCACUCGGUACUGGGUGACUAGAGGACCGGAGAGGAUAGUGGAAUUCCAGUGUAGUGGUGAAAUACGUAGAGAUUGGGAAGAACACCAGUGGCGAAGGCGGCUAUCUGGACGGUUUCUGACGCUAAGACGCGAAAGCGUGGGGAGCAAACAGGG
rnacentral:rRNA from 1 species